CCAUUCUCAACCUGCUCGUAAAGCCUCUUCCUUUCUGUCCCCUCCGUGGCAUUGUUUUCCCCUUCCCUCCACAGAAGCCCAUUCCAGCACUGGGAAUCUGGUGCAGAAGCUGUGCUUCCCUCUGAGAGCAGCAGGUGGGAGUGGAGCUGGCAGGUGAGCAGGAAUAGGGUUGUUUAGUCUGGGAGGCAAUUAGUGCAAGCGAGCAGCGACUGGAGAGCAUGCACAGAGGCUGACAGAGGGGAAACUUCUGCUUUAAGAUGGAGCAGCUUGGGGGAAAUGGGUUUACAUGAGUUCAAGGGGAGAAGUUCAUCAAAGAGAAAUCCACAGAGAUUAAGAACAUAGUGACUGCAGUAUUUGCAAGAAGUUGCUGAGCAAAAAUUGUUGGAAGAGGACACAAGUGGAAAGCAUCGCAUACUUCUGCUGAAUUUUAUUCCUCCUUGAGUACCUAUUCUGGCUGCUGAUGGAGACAAGAUACUGAAUUAUGAACUUUCAGCCUGCCUUGGUAACAGAUGCUCAUUGUGACGUGAACGUAAUUUCAGUACCUGCAUAGGAGAAAUGACGACCGGAGCCACCCGAGCUUAAAGUUAACAGUCAUCCAGCACUCCAAGAAAGUGUUGUCAGCUGGGUUAAAGCAAUGUCCGGAACUGAGAACAACUCUGUGUUGGUAAGGCAUUUCGAAAUCAUUGCCUGAUAUGGUGGUAGUCAGAAGCUUCAUGAUGAGCCCUGGAUGCAGACCUUCUUCUACUGCACGUUUCUUGUAGUAGCCAUGGCUGCUGUUCGGGUGAGAGUUACCAGGUCACCUCCUCCUGUGCCAAAAGCCAGAGUUUCAGCCUCAGCAAUGCAGUUAUUAAGCAGGUGGAUGUCUCGCUUCUUCCCUUUUGUAAUGUCUAUGCUAGAAUAUUUUAUUAAUGAAAUCACUGAUGUUUAUUACCUACUAAAUUAUCUCCCGCUCCAACAAUCUCUGAGGGUUAUUACCACAAAGACUUGCACAACACAUGUUAAAAGCCAUCAGUUUAAAUCAACAUAUACUUUUAUUAAAAACAAAACGGAAUGUUUUUUUUCUAAUCCCUGCAUUCCAGUUGCUAAAGCUGAGAUAAUCUUCUGGAGGAGCUAAUGGAUAUUGUUAAUAGCUGGAUUGAAUUUAUAAAGAGCUAGAAGAGAACAAACAGGAGAGUAGAGACAACCUACAGCAGCAGCAGUGAGGGCAAUCAGUUGUGCUUCACUCACAG
rnacentral:lncRNA from 1 species